UACGUAGGUGGCAAGCGUUGUUCGGAAUUAUUGGGCGUAAAGGGCGCGUAGGCGGUCUUGUAAGUCAGCUGUGAAAGCCCGGGGCUCAACCCCGGAGGGUCGGCUGAUACUGCAGGACUGGAGUACGGAAGAGGUAGCUGGAAUUCCCGGUGUAGCGGUGAAAUGCGUAGAUAUCGAGAGGAACACCUGCGGCGAAGGCGGGUUGCUGGGCCGACACUGACGCUGAUGCGCGAAAGCCAGGGGAGCGAACGGG
rnacentral:rRNA from 1 species